rnacentral:rRNA from 1 species
AUACGAAGGGGGCUAGCGUUGUUCGGAAUUACUGGGCGUAAAGCGCGCGUAGGCGGAUUGGUCAGUUAGGGGUGAAAUCCCAGGGCUUAACCCUGGAACUGCCUCUAAUACUGCCAGUCUUGAGUUCGGGAGAGGUGAGUGGAAUUCCUAGUGUAGAGGUGAAAUUCGUAGAUAUUAGGAAGAACACCAGUGGCGAAGGCGGCUCACUGGCCCGAUCCUGACGCUGAGGCGCGAAAGCGUGGGGAGCAAACAGGAUUAGAAACCCUAGUAGUCC